rnacentral:other from 1 species
CACCCCCUGGAACGCGCGUGAUGCACGUUCACCGUAGGCCUCACAAGCAUUCAGAAUAGGGAGGCAACGCUGAACCGGUGUGCAAGCCCGUUUUUUGCGGGAAGCCUGAAGGGUCAGCGACGCUUCCCGCCGUAGGAGCUAAGGCCCUGCGGAGAACUACGCACACGACGUUCCGGGGCGCAA